rnacentral:rRNA from 1 species
UACGAAGGGGGGCUAGCGUUGCUCGGAAUCACUGGGCGUAAAGGGUGCGUAGGCGGGUCUUUAAGUCAGGGGUGAAAUCCUGGAGCUCAACUCCAGAACUGCCUUUGAUACUGAGGAUCUUGAGUUCGGGAGAGGUGAGUGGAACUGCGAGUGUAGAGGUGAAAUUCGUAGAUAUUCGCAAGAACACCAGUGGCGAAGGCGGCUCACUGGCCCGAUACUGACGCUGAGGCACGAAAGCGUGGG